rnacentral:rRNA from 1 species
AUUGAACGCUGGCGGCAGGCCUAACACAUGCAAGUCGAGCGGAUGACGGGAGCUUGCUCCUUGAUUCAGCGGCGGACGGGUGAGUAAUGCCUAGGAAUCUGCCUGGUAGUGGGGGACAACGUUUCGAAAGGAACGCUAAUACCGCAUACGCCCUACGGGAGAAAGCAGGGGACCUUCGGGCCUUGCGCUAUCAGAUGAGCCUAGGUCGGAUUAGCUAGUAGGUGAGGUAAUGGCUCACCUAGGCGACGAUCCGUAACUGGUCUGAGAGGAUGAUCAGUCACACUGGAGCUGAGACACGGUCCAGACUCCUACGGGAGGCAGCAGUGGGGAAUAUUGGACAAUGGGCGAAAGCCUGAUCCAGCCAUGCCGCGUGUGUGAAGAAGGUCUUCGGAUUGUAAAGCACUUUAAGUUGGGAGGAAGGGCAGUAAGCUAAUACCUUGCUGUUUUGACGUUACCGACAGAAUAAGCACCGGCUAACUCUGUGCCAGCAGCCGCCGCCGUAA